rnacentral:rRNA from 1 species
UCCGUAGGGGGCAAGCGUUGUCCGGAUUUAUUGGGCGUAAAGCGCUCGCAGGUGGUUCGUCGCGUCGUGCGUGAAAGACCCCGGCUCAACUGGGGGAGGUCGUGCGAUACGGGCGGACUGGAGGCCAGUAGGGGGAUGCGGAAUUCCGGGUGUAGUGGUGGAAUGCGUAGAGAUCCGGAGGAACACCAGCGGCGAAGGCGGCAUCCUGGACUGGUCCUGACACUCAGGAGCGAAAGCGUGGGGAGCGAUCCGG